rnacentral:rRNA from 1 species
AGAGUUUGAUCCUGGCUCAGAUUGAACGCUGGCGGCAGGCCUAACACAUGCAAGUCGAACGGUAACAGGAAGAAGCUUGCUUCUUUGCUGACGAGUGGCGGACGGGUGAGUAAUGUCUGGGAAACUGCCUGAUGGAGGGGGAUAACUACUGGAAACGGUAGCUAAUACCGCAUAACGUCGCAAGACCAAAGAGGGGGACCUUCGGGCCUCUUGCCAUCGGAUGUGCCCAGAUGGGAUUAGCUAGUAGGUGGGGUAACGGCUCACCUAGGCGACGAUCCCUAGCUGGUCUGAGAGGAUGACCAGCCACACUGGAACUGAGACACGGUCCAGACUCCUACGGGAGGCAGCAGUGGGGAAUAUUGCACAAUGGGCGCAAGCCUGAUGCAGCCAUGCCGCGUGUAUGAAGAAGGCCUUCGGGUUGUAAAGUACUUUCAGCGGGGAGGAAGGGAGUAAAGUUAAUACCUUUACUCAUUGACGUUACCCGCAGAAGAAGCACCGGCUAACUCCGUGCCAGCAGCCGCGGUAAUACGGAGGGUGCAAGCNUAAUCGGAAUUACUGGGCGUAAAGCGCACGCAGGCGGUUUGUUAAGUCAGAUGUGAAAUCCCCGGGGCUCAACCUGGGAACUGCAUCUGAUACUGGCAAGCUUGAGUCUCGUAGAGGGGGGUAGAAUUCCAGGUGUAGCGGUGAAAUGCGUAGAGAUCUGGAGGAAUACCGGUGGCGAAGGCGGCCCCCUGGACGAAGACUGACGCUCAGGUGCGAAAGCGUGGGGAGCAAACAGGAUUAGAUACCCUGGUAGUCCACGCCGUAAACGAUGUCGACUUGGAGGUUGUGCCCUUGAGGCGUGGCUUCCGGAGCUAACGCGUUAAGUCGACCGCCUGGGGAGUACGGCCGCAAGGUUAAAACUCAAAUGAAUUGACGGGGGCCCGCACAAGCGGUGGAGCAUGUGGUUUAAUUCGAUGCAACGCGAAGAACCUUACCUGGUCUUGACAUCCACAGAACUUUCCAGAGAUGGAUUGGUGCCUUCGGGAACUGUGAGACAGGUGCUGCAUGGCUGUCGUCAGCUCGUGUUGUGAAAUGUUGGGUUAAGUCCCGCAACGAGCGCAACCCUUAUCCUUUGUUGCCAGCGGUCCGGCCGGGAACUCAAAGGAGACUGCCAGUGAUAAACUGGAGGAAGGUGGGGAUGACGUCAAGUCAUCAUGGCCCUUACGACCAGGGCUACACACGUGCUACAAUGGCGCAUACAAAGAGAAGCGACCUCGCGAGAGCAAGCGGACCUCAUAAAGUGCGUCGUAGUCCGGAUUGGAGUCUGCAACUCGACUCCAUGAAGUCGGAAUCGCUAGUAAUCAUGGAUCAGAAUGCCACGGUGAAUACGUUCCCGGGCCUUGCACACACCGCCCGUC